CAGUGGCUAGUGGACCAUUUAUUACAACAAUUAAUGAUAUUAUUAGUAUGUUGAUUUAUUUUGGUUUAGCUACAUCAUUUAUGGCUUACUUAAUUUAAGGAGGAGUUAUGGAGUUUUUAUCUUUAGUUAUUGU
rnacentral:tRNA from 1 species